GGGGAUGAAGAAGAGCUUGUUAAGGAGAACAUAAAGAACACUGCAUCGUCAACAGGGAAAAUCACCUUGGGCGUCACAAAUAGCAAGCCUGAAACAGGGGAGGUGAUUGGAGUGUUCGAGAGUAUUCAGCCAUCUGACACCGAUUUGGGGGCAAAGGUUCCAAAGGAAGUGAAGAUCCAAGGAGUCUGGUAUGCUCAACUGGAGUGAUGGGG
rnacentral:misc_RNA from 1 species